CGGCCCCGCCCCGUCGCCAUGUUGUUCCCUCGGUGCUGGACGGGAGCAGCUGUAGUCGGACCCGGGCAGUGCUGCGGACGUCAGCUGCCCGCUGGGUCCUCGACCCUCUCUCUUUCCUCACUGCACCCGGACGGGCCGGCCCGGAGCUCCCGGGCUUCCUCCGUGUGGCUGCGAGGUGGAAAGAUGGGGUCGCGCACCCGGGGAGAGAGACACACGCCCGAAGACAGACGCCCAGACGUCCUGGAGACACACACACGGGGAAGGAGAUCCAUCGACACCUGGUGA
rnacentral:lncRNA from 1 species